UACAGAGGUCCCGAGCGUUGUUCGGAUUCAUUGGGCGUAAAGGGUGCGUAGGCGGCUUUCUAAGUUUGAUGUGAAAUCCUGGGGCUCAACCCUGGAACUGCAUUGAAUACUGGAGAGCUAGAGUACUGGAGAGGAAACUGGAAUUCACGGUGUAGCAGUGAAAUGCGUAGAGAUCGUGAGGAAGACCAGUGGCGAAGGCGAGUUUCUGGACAGUUACUGACGCUGAGGCACGAAGGCUAGGGGAGCAAACGGG
rnacentral:rRNA from 1 species